rnacentral:rRNA from 1 species
UGGGGAAUAUUGGACAAUGGACCAAAAGUCUGAUCCAGCAAUUCUGUGUGCACGAUGAGGGUCUUCGGAUUGUAAAGUGCUUUCAGGUGGGAAGAAGAAAGUGACGGUACCACCAGAAGAAGCGACAGCUAAAUACGUG